rnacentral:rRNA from 1 species
GAUGAACGCUGGCGGCGUGCCUAAUACAUGCAAGUCGAGCGAACAGAUGAGGAGCUUGCUCCUCUGACGUUAGCGGCGGACGGGUGAGUAACACGUGGAUAACCUACCUAUAAGACUGGGAUAACUUCGGGAAACCGGAGCUAAUACCGGAUAAUAUAUUGAACCGCAUGGUUCAAUAGUGAAAGACGGUUUUGCUGUCACUUAUAGAUGGAUCCGCGCCGCAUUAGCUAGUUGGUAAGGUAACGGCUUACCAAGGCAACGAUGCGUAGCCGACCUGAGAGGUUGAUCGGCCACACUGGAACUGAGACACGGUCCAGACUCCUACGGGAGGCAGCAGUAGGGAUUCUUCCGCAAUGGGCGAAAGCUUGACGGAGCAACGCCGCGUGAGUGAUGAAGGUCUUCGGAUCGUAAAACUCUGUUAUUAGGGAAGAACAAAUGUGUAAGUAACUAUGCACGUCUUGACGGUACCUAAUCAGAAAGCCACGGCUAACUACGUG